UACGUAGGGUGCAAGCGUUGUCCGGAAUUAUUGGGCGUAAAGAGCUCGUAGGCGGUUUGUCGCGUCUGCUGUGAAAACUCGGGGCUUAACCCCGGGCCUGCAGUGGGUACGGGCAGACUAGAGUGCGGUAGGGGAGACUGGAAUUCCUGGUGUAGCGGUGAAAUGCGCAGAUAUCAGGAGGAACACCGGUGGCGAAGGCGGUUCUCUGGGCCUUACCUGACGCUGAGGAGCGAAAGCAUGGGGAGCAAACAGG
rnacentral:rRNA from 1 species